rnacentral:rRNA from 1 species
GAUUAGCUAGUUGGAGGGGUAACGGCCCACCAAGGCGAUGAUCAGUAGCCGGUCUGAGAGGAUGAACGGCCACAUUGGGACUGAGACACGGCCCAGACUCCUACGGGAGGCAGCAGUGGGGAAUCUUCCGCAAUGGACGAAAGUCUGACGGAGCAACGCCGCGUGAGUGAUGACGGCCUUCGGUUGUAAGCUCUGUUAAUCGGACGAAAGGCCUUCUUGCGAAUAGUUAGAAGGAUUGACGGUACCGGAAUAGAAAGCCACGGCUAACUACGUGCCAGCAGCCGCGGUAAUACGUAGGCGGCAAGCGUUGUCCGGAAUUAUUGGGCGUAAAGCGCGCGCAGGCGGAUUGGUCAGUCUGUCUUAAAAGUUCGGGCUUAACCCCGUGAUGGGAUGGAAACUGCCAAUCUAGAGUAUCGGAGAGGAAAGUGGAAUUCCUAGUGUAGCGGUGAAAUGCGUAGAUAUUAGGAAGAACACCAGUGGCGAAGGCGACUUUCGUGACGAAACUGACGCUGAGGCGCGAAAGCCAGGGGAGCGAACGGGAUUAGAACCCGG